rnacentral:rRNA from 1 species
AUUGAACGCUGGCGGCAGACCUAACACAUGCAAGUCGAGCGGAUGACGGGAGCUUGCUCCUUGAUUCAGCGGCGGACGGGUGAGUAAUACCUAGGAAUCUGCCUGAUAGUGGGGGACGACGUUUCGAAAGGAACGCUAAUACCGCAUACGUCCUACGGGAGAAAGCAGGGGACCUUCGGGCCUUGCGCUAUCAGAUGAGCCUAGGUCGGAUUAGCUAGUUGGUGAGGUAAUGGCUCACCAAGGCGACGAUCCGUAACUGGUCUGAGAGGAUGAUCAGUCACACUGGAACUGAGACACGGUCCAGACUCCUACGGGAGGCAGCAGUGGGGAAUAUUGGACAAUGGGCGAAAGCCUGAUCCAGCCAUGCCGCGUGUGUGAAGAAGGUCUUCGGAUUGUAAAGCACUUUAAGUUGGGAGGAAGGGCAGUAAGCUAAUACCUUGCUGUUUUGACGUUACCGACAGAAUAAGCACCGGCUAACUCUGUGCCAGCCGCCGCCGUAAGAC